AUUUUCCCCCUUGGAGUGGGUGGAGCCUGGGGGUCCCGACUCUGGGAGCCUUGAAAGUCAACACAACACAGCAGUCACAGCGUGAAAACCAGCAGACCUCCCCACCUCCUUCAGUGACUCGAAUGAGAUGAUGCCAAACCACGAGGCCUUUUGCUGUCAGGACUGCUAAGUGAUAAUUCCCUCCAUAUCUCUGUCAGCACAGGGGUCAUAGCUGACGUUGGACGAGAUGUGGCAGAGCCUCUAUAGCAGUUUGUGGGUCUGUAAUCCAGUUUGCCUCUUCUGGAAUUGCUGCAGUCGUGGAUUAAUAAGGUUGAAGACCACAUGGCAGCCAUGGCCAUCUCUGCCUCCUACCAAAGUUGUUUCUAUCUAGGAAGGUUGUUUAAGGCAGGACACUGGCCACCUCUUCUGGGGGAGCUCUAGACACAGGCAGCAUUGUUUUAUUGGAGGUGGACCACCAUUUCUGGCUUCUUUCCCUCUUAUUCCACUAUAGUUUAACUACUUAUGGAAGGUCUACUCAUGCUUUGUCCUCCCCCCCCCCACCUCUCCCAGGGGAUUAAACUCAGGCUCUAGUACCUAGAAGGCAAACACUCUACACUGAGUUACACCCAGUCCCUCUCUCACUUAGAGACAGGAUUGCCCAGGUUGGCCUUGAACUUGUGGUCCUUACCCUCUGGAGUAGCUGGAACUACAGUGUGUACUAUAUGGAGGCUGGCUCUGUGUGUGUGUGUGUGUGUGUGUGUGUGUGUGUGUGUGUGUGUGUUGUUAUUUUAAGAUGUGGCUUUUUGACCUUGAAGUUCUGAUCCCUGACACCCUUGUCCCACUUCCAAGUGUUGGAAUUAGAGGUAUGUGUCAUCAUGCCUGUUUUUGUUUGGUUUCAUUGUUGUUAUUGUUUUGGCCUCUUUUAUGGGAUGGUUCUUUGUUGUUUUGUUUCUUUUUUUGAGACCAAUCUAUAGUUAUAUAGAUUAUAUAGUUAUAUAAUCCAGGCUGGUCUCGAACUUUUGUAUCUUUCUUCCUCAGGUUCCAGCGUAGCUGGGACUACAGGUGUCAGCAAAAUGUCUUCCUCUAGGUUUUCUCCUUAGAAGAAGGAUGUAUACGGAGCUCCAGCCGAGCCUCUGGAGUGGCCUAUGCCGGGCUUCUCACUUCUGCCUUUUCUAGCACCUCAGAAUUCCAUCCGAGGACCGCACAAAACCUAUGGUGGCAGAGUAGAGUAACUUGACCUAGUGGGACUGAAUGGAGUUCUUCCCAAGUUCCAGUGCUGUAGGGAAGAAAACGUGUGAGUCUAGACUGGGAACCAGAGGAAUCUAUGCAUGUGCACCCUUGACAGCCUCUGUGUGUCUUCAGAGGGAUGACCACCCGUGUCUGCACUAUGCAAUACCAACAUUCCUCACUUGUGACAUGGCUGUCCCUUUUACUGCUUCUGUUCCAGGCAGAAAAGAAAAUGAAAGUACGUUCCCAAGAUGUUCACCACAAUUUAGCCCACCCUGAUCAGAGCUGAAUAAUGCCCGGAUGACGACCUAAGCCCUGAAGACAAGGACCCACUGGACACUGAACUUGCAGGAAAAGGCGCUCAUGCUCGGCUUUUUGGAAUGGGAGGCUCCGAAGUCGUAGUCCUCAAAGUCGUCACAGCUGUCUCCAGACUUGAAGACCGUCUGGCCCCAGCGUCUCCGAGCUCCUUUAUGGCCCAGUGUGCUGACUGACUUCUGUGGUAAAAAAGGAUGAGCCACCAAAGUCCUAAAUUAUCUAAGAUUUGCACAAGCAAUUGGACAUCAAGUGUCUCAAUUCUCAGCCACCCUUCCCUUUACAGUUACAUGUCCCUUAAGGACAGGACAUGUCCUGAGAAAUGCAUCCACGGGUAACUGUCAUUGUGCGGACAUCAUAGAAUGUACUUACAGAAACCUAGGUGCUCUGCUCCGCCACGCAGCUCUUAAUUCACAGGCAACAAAUGUGUUCCAAAUGUAUUAUACUGAGUACUGCUGGGAACUGUGGGGGAUGGUUACUACUCGUGUGUCUAGGCAUACGUAAACAUAGACAAGGUACUGCGAAGAGGCUGGGGAUAUAGGUUAGCGGUAGAGCACAUCUGUAGCACACACAAGGGCCCAGAUCCAACCCAGCUACCUGGUAACCGCCCCCCCCCCCCCACAUACACAAAUAGAUAGAAGCAGCUAACUACAUCCAUUCAGGAGCAGAAAGAGAAUAAACCGUGCACACCUACACCUACAAGCUCAGCUUGCUUCCUCCUUUUCAAUACAGUACAGGACCCCAAACCAAGGAACAGUGCCACCUAGUCUCAGGCUGGCUCUUCCUGCCUCAAUGAAUAUAAUGACAAUAAUUCCCCACAGACAUACGUGCAGGCCAACCUGAUCUAGGCAGUCUCUCAAUUGAGACUCUCGGCCCAGUUGAUUGUAUAAUACUGACAAUUAAAACUAGCCACCACCCUGUACUAGAGGUCUGAGGUUCUGGGGUGACCCUUCAUAGACAGAAUAAUCUAGAAAACCGGGAUGUAGUUGUGAGCCUUCCUGCCCUUCUCAUUAAGUGGAAGUAGCCUUAUGGAGCACCCUGAGGUUGUCAUGUCCCUGUGUCUUUCAGCAAUGACUUUUAAAGCUAGGGCCUCUGAGAUGGCUGGGGUGGGCUGGGAUGUAAGUCACUUGCUGAAAAGCCUGACAACCCAAGUUUCAUUCCGGGGACUGCAGGAAGGAAAGAGAACAGAUGCCUGUGGGUUGCCCUGGGAACUCCACAAGCGCCCCUCCCCAAGAAAUAAAUAAAUAAAUACGUGUAUUAAAAUCUUAAAAAUUAAGUCUAAUUAUCUUUGAAUAGCAUUCUAUUAAUGGAGAUAAGGAACGAGGAAGAAGUUGCAGCUUAGGACAGACAGUAAGCUGCUCUCCUAGAGACUGAUAGAGUGACACGUGACCUGUCAACUGAAAAACACAAAAGCAGCUCAAAAUAAGGAGUGGAGUGUGGAAGGAAGGCUGGCUGAGCCACGGCAUGAGGAUGCUGGAAGAAUGGCCCACAAGUGCGCAGAGCUGGUGACAUCUGGAUGGGCAACGGCAGGAACUGGUCCCUGCCAACCUCUGCACCGUCAUUUACUCAGCCAGGAGGAACACUUUCCAAACCAAUCAGAAUGAAAAGAUCCACGGAGUCCACACAGCUGGGUCUGGACCAUCCUCAGCUGGACUGCCUGUUAGUGUGAAGCUGAAUGCUGACCCCUGCCGAGCCACGUCACCCUAGAGAUGGACUAUGCAAGACGAAGUGCAGAACAUGCGAUCUGCUGAAACAUCUAGUAACAAAACAGACUCAGAGAUUUUCAUGGGAGGAACAUUCCAUCACAGUUCUGGGUACGUUAGCUAUAUAAAGAUGAAGGGUUAGUUGUUAGGUGCUAUAACUUGGUGAAUAUGCCCAGGGGCUGAACACAGUGUACAGUUCUUAGACACUGCUCGAUUAAAUACAAACUUUUCUUUCCUCUCAGUGUGCACCAGCAUCUGGUGACGUUCUGAAGGGGGAAGAGGAAACGCAACCCUCAGUGACCGGAAUGGCCCUUCAGUUUUGGGAGGUUGGAAGCCAUUUUUCCUGCUUUACCCUCCCUGGUAUGUCUGUCUGUCUCUUGUUCAGGAAGCUCCAUUCUCAGUGGCCAGCAGAAUGAGGAAGGGGGUUGGAAGCCUGUCAGAACAAAAGUCAGAGGGACUUGGGGAUGUUUCACCCAGAGGGCAGAUGAUACAGGGCUGUUUUCAAAUUUCUGCAGGGCUGCCUUUCCGGAAGAAUGAUAUCUUCUAUUAUACAGCACAGAGAACCACAUUCUCCCUUCUGUUACAGGCCAUGGAGUCUCCUAUUCUAGCCACAGAGAACCACAGUCUCUAAUAUUCAGAGCUGGAUGGAGACUCUUCUGGACCCUGGAGGCUCUUCAUUUAUUCAGUAAAUAUUAAAAUUUUUCCCAUAGUAGGCACUUUCUAGACUCUGAUAAGCAAAUUGGACAUAUUUCUGAUGUCACAGAGCUUGCACUCCAGUAGAAGGGAAAAUGCUCUACAACAAUACUAGAAACAUGAAUUAGUGCCUCCUUAGGAUGGGUUUGGUAUUAGUGUGAGAUGGGAGGGCUCAUAUUAAGAUGGUGAGAGCUGGGGAUGGACCAGGAAUUAGAUACAAUAUUUGAAAAGAUCUGUGCAGGAAGCAGUCCAAGACUAAUAGUCAGCCCUGAAAACAUAAACAUACAGGUACAGACUGCAUAGGUUGUAUUUAUAUAUUUCUGAAUAUGCACACACACAUAUACACACACCAAUAAUGAAAAAGAGGCUAUGAUUUUAAAAUAGAAUAAGAAGGGUACAUGCGAGGGUUUGGAGGGAGGGAAGUAAAGGAGAAAAUUAUGUAAUCAUAGCAUAACCUCAAAGAUUAAAAAUAAAUAAAAAUAAUGUUCUUUAAACCUUCUAGUCUGCUUGUGUUCAUUAUCAGUAAAACACAGUAUGAAAUUCUUUGGAAAAUGUUCAAUAUUUAGGAUCAGUGCUCUAGAGUGUCCAAUUCCUUCUAUGAAUUCUUAAAAGAAGCUUGCAGCAUACAAAUGUCACUCCUUUAUCCUGGACAUUUCUCCUCAUCAUC